CCCCCCCCCCACCCCACUUUUGUUUUAUAUACUGGUACUCUCUGGGCUGUGGGUACCAUCCCCCACCCACUUCUUGCCCUUUUUCAAUGGUUUUGUUGUUUUUACUUUCUAAGCUUUGACUAAUCUCUGUGUGUGUGUGGGCGGCGUCAUGUGUGCAGACUGAAGUGUGUGCGGGUGUGUGUGUGUCAGGUGACUCUUUCAUUGUUAACAGACAUGUGACCUAGAUUUUCCCCAGGAUGUGACGGGGGCGGGGGCCCUGUCCAAUUUUCUCACACAUUUCUAGAUGUGAUAUCUUGCAAAAUUUAAUGUUAAU